AUCAUCGGGGUUCUGGAAUGGUACCUCUGUGCUCUGCAAGAGCGAAAGUGCUCUUAGGGGCCCAGCCAUUGCUCCAGCCUCUAAUUCCCUUUGAACCACGGCCCGACUCUUCCUCUCUGGGUCCAGCCUAUUUUACCAUCAGCUUUCUUAGCAGUCAGAAAGGACGGUCCACCAUUCCCUCUGACUCAUCUGCUUUCUUUUCCACGUGGCAGGAGAAGAAAAGAGUUUUCAGUCACAUCACAUGUCUCUGUGUCAGCAAUUCAAUUGUUCCCUUAGCAACCACCGCUUUUACUGCGGGCUUUCUGAGAUAUGCUGCUCUCUCAAAGAGCUUAGAUCACAAAACAGCUUGGUCCGUGCCAGAAGCUGCUUCCUAAAAAGGCCAGUAUCCUUUCAAGAGCAAAUUAUUUUUAAACAAUAUUCAAAGAGAACACAGCAUUUUUAGGCAAAGGUGGCAAUGGGGACGACAGGGAGGAGGGACGCCUCUGAGGUGCGCCGGCUUCACUAAGAUGCGCAUUCACUGCUCUCCUCCUUUCCUGUGGACGUUAUGGGUCACAGGGGAAAUCAGGGGAAGGGGAGGGGAAUGGCAUAAUGCAAAGCCGGCAGUUCUUCUGCACAUGGAGGGGUUGAGGCAUUAUCUGUGCACACGAAGCAUACAGAUUUACCAUUUUCUCAUCUGAUUGUUUGCGGAGCAUUCUGCCCUUCACAGAACAGCCAUCCCUCGGUACUCAACUGAGAAUUCAUCCUGGGAGUCCCUUCUCCCAGAUAUCAAGAUGUGUGACUGCUAAGUCCUUUUCUUAAAAUAGCACAGUUUACAGGGAACCUAUGCAAAUCUCCUGUCUGAUUUAAAUCAGCUCUAGAUUACAGACAAUGCCUUAAACGAUGUAAAUGUGGCACAAAGACUCCCUGUCCUGUAUUGUUUAGGAAAUACUAAAAAGAAAAAAAAGCUUGUCCUGUGUUCAGCACAUCCACAUCUCUUCAGAUUUCCAAAUAUUUCCAGUCUGCAGCUGGUUGGAUCUGCACAUGGAGAACCCACAGAUGUGGGGGUCAACUAUCCUUUUAUAUCUGCUGAAGCAUAGUUUCCUUUAUUAUUCCACAACGGUAUUUUUCCAAGAGGAUUUGUAACUCCUUUCUUUAGACAAAAAAAAAAAAAAAAAAAAAAAAAAAAAUGUAGAUUUUAUGUUUCCCACUAUCUGAGAAGCCAGGACAUCUCACAGUGUAGGGACCGUGUGAAAGCUCCCAAGGAAACGUUUCCAAACACAGGGAGAAAGCUUUGGUGUUUAUAAAUAAUCCCACUUCCCCAUCCGUCUCUAGGAAUUAAAUCUCUCAGUAACAGCUUGAUAGCUGCUUUUGAUAGGAAUGAUGAAGCGUCUUUUAAUUAUUGUUCGAGGACCUGGUGCUUUUCAGUGUGUCAGAGCACUCACUCCAGAUGAUUGAGAUCCGAUGUCUGUACUGAAUCUCAGCUUAAUCUGAACUCUGUGGGCUAGGGGUCGGGAGUCACUUACAAGACAUUGAUGCCUGCUUUAUUUCAUCAAAAGUAUGUAUUUAGAAACUCUUUUGAUUUCAACCUUAACUUUAAAUCAACUCUGUUCCUAGUUCAGUUAAGAGUUCCUUGAGAUUAUCGCAAAUUAAGAAAAUGACCACAUUAAAUUAAAAAAAAAAUGGUUAUGUAAGUCAGGCAUAGUGGCUGGUGCACACCUUUAAUCCUAGCACCUGGGAAGCAGAGGCAGGUGGAUCUCUGUAAGUUCAGGGCCAGCCUAGGCUACAUAGAAAGUUAGAAAGACCUCAUCUCAAAAAAAAGGGGGGGUGUUAUGCAAGAACUAUUGACUCAGUGGACUUGUAUUCUGUAAGAUUCAAGAAAACUGGUGUGUAAGGAUUGUCCCCAGAUUAGCCCUUCAAGGUAUUUCAGAGGACUGUAUUUGAGGUCAGUCAGCCCCUUGGGCCUUCCCAGCACUGCAUGAACAAGAGUGAAACUUUCGAAAUGAAGCCCUCUUCGUGACAGAGGCACAGAGCCCAGGUGUGACCACAACCUAAUUUCCCCCCACACAGAGGGAUGGAGGUAAUUACACCUUGGUUCAGAAGGGGUAAAAAGCGCCCUAACAACCUGACUUUUUCUUUAGGGAGCAUACGGUACUUCCUAUUAUGACAAAGGAAUGCGUGUCUGCCUAACUCUUUCAUUCUUAGGACUCGUCGCUUGUAGGUGAAUGCUGGCACACUCGUGGGUCCCACUAAGCUGCUAGGCAGUGACUUUCUCUCCUUCACACCUCUCAGCACAUUUCUUUAUCCGCAAAGAGGUGGGUUCAUCGUCCAAGGCCCUCCAAAGGCUACGAUCUGUUUGAUCAGCUUCCUGCUGUCGUCUGUAACUCUAUUGUUUUCAGCUUGCUUGCCCCAGCUGCCCACAUUUUCCUGGGUUCCUUCUCUCUCUGGGAAUCCAGCAGCUCUCACAUCCAGCAGUCAUACACUCUGCCUCACAUUGCUCUUUCUUCUCACCACUAUCAAAGUCACAGACAGAGGCUAAGAGACUUAGAAAAAAAUCUAUAUACUGGCCCAUACAUGGUAAAGAAUGCAUAUGUGAAAGAAUGUGUUCUGGGAAAGACUAAAAGGUCUGAGGGGCAGACCUUCCUGCCCCAGGUCUCACCAAGGGGCUCUAUCAGCAGGAAAUGACCUGGUGCACAUCCAGGUGUCAUGUUUCUAGCUGUGGAAGCCUUGCCUGCCACCAGCCACACUUUGUAGGUUAUCCAACACCCAGCUGAGUGCCCCUUAAUUAUCAGCAACUUUUAUACAGAGUUACAAAGCAAUUCAGCAAACUACAAAUCCCCCUCCCAUUCUAGUCACACGUACAUCCCCAGUCCCAUCCCUACAAACACUGAGUCUUCCCUUCAGCCCACAGCCCAGGUAGACUCAAGGUGGAAAAGGGUUUGAAGCCUUGCUCAGGAUUUGGAGAGUAGAGCUGCUCAGCCUCACCCUGCAGAAGCUGAGGGCUGCUGUAAGUGGGGGUUUCUUUGUCUGGACCUUAAUCAGAUGUGUUCCACCAGCCACUUUCCAAAUAACCAUUCAGAGACUUAGUAUUAAUUAUAAAUGCUUGGCCAAUAGCUCAGGCUUAUUACUAACUAGCUUUGCAGAAGCCUGCAGACACCCUGAAGAAGGCAAGGGCUGGUGAUACCCCACACAAGCAGAAGACUGGUAAUACACCAUAUAAGCGCAGGGCUGGUGAUACCUCACAUAAGCAGAGGGCUGAUGACAUCCCACACAAACAGAAGGCUGGCGACAAGGGACAGAUGGCAGGAUGUGGUGGAUCAACAGCCCCACUGUCCAACAGUGACGGGCUUGUAGAAGACAUACCUUUCUGUUUUGGAGAGUGGGGCCUCAUAUGUCUGAGAUGUCAGCAGCAUUGGCACUACCACACCCCAGUGACACCUGUUCAGAGUCUCCCUCUCUCCUGAAUCACUGCAGUAGCUCCUGGUUGAAAUUCAGGCUUCCUCUUGCCUCCCACAUCCCUCAGAUUGCUCUGUGACAGCCAAGGGGAUCCUUUUAAAUGUAAUAGAUUCAGAUGUAAAAUUUCUCAACUCUGCAGUGGCUUUCUGUAUGAGUCCAGGUAAAAGGCAAAGCCGACUGGACACAACCUCCUCACCUGAUUCCCCCUCUGGUCACUUCUCUCUAGUUCCUGGGUCUUCACUAAGUCCUCUAGGAUGUAAGUUCUUGGAAAUCUGGAUGCUUUAUGCUCCCUUAAUUGAACAAGGUCCUGGAGAUCGCUUACUCUGAGAACUCAUGAAGUCCAGUUCAAAACAACAGCCUGGAGUCUAGAUGGGGCUAAACCUGGAGAGCUCUCACUAGCUUGUUGGUCUCUAGGUAGAACUCUGAUUCUUUUUCCCGCUACGUCCUGGCUUUCCUGCUUCUCUGGAUGACAAAAUAUUUUCUGACCACACUACAGCUUGAACUCAUUUAUUCAGUUACGCGUUUUUCUGUAUAGAAUGCACCAGGCAAUAGUUUAGGCAUUUGGGCUGCAUCGGUGAACAAAGUGGAGAGACUCGCCUUCCUGGAGCCGGAAAGAGAGGGGAGGGCCUGUAGACAUCACAAGUAAGCACAUGUGGCAUGUAGAUUACCAGGGUUUGGGAGAAAGUAGAGUAGGAGAAAGGGAGAUUGGAAAUGUGGCGACAGGGAAGUGCCAUGGUAAACAAAGGCCAGUGUUGACUCUAGUGAUGAGAAAUCUGAGGAAUGACGUCCAGUUGCCACAGGCAUAGACUCCACUCAGCACCCCGCUUCUAAAUCCAUGCAGGAGAAAUCUGAUGGGUCCAGGUUAUCCCAGGUGUUCUCCCUCGGGCCAGUCACUAGUUACUAUGGCAGGCUACGGACAUACAAAAUUAACAUGACUGCUCCAAGCCCAGCCCUGCAGGUGGACUGGGAAGGCCAAGGCCAGUCCCGAAGAAGAAGCGGGAAAUACCUGACCAAGACUGGUUUUGCCACUAGUGUCUGUGAAGAUUGAAAGUUGGUUUUGUUUUAAUUUCUAAGUCAUAUUCCAAGUGGUCAGUGCUCACUUAGCACCCUUAGAUACACACACACACACACACACACACACACACACACACACACACACACACACACACACACCAGGCCAGGUUCAUGGGAAGGUGUGCUACUAAUUCCUGCUGAAUUGCAGAAGAGAGAAGACAGAGGUUGCAGUCUGAACAUGAACUGACUCAUAAUAAAAUGAUAUCCUAUAUUCCACCUCAGGCUUGUUUGUGCCUCAGGUGCAAACAUCUCAACCCAUACUUUGCUCUUGUCUCUGGAGGACACAUCCCAGCCCACAGCUUGUUCCUUCUCCAGAUGACCACGACCUGACCAACACACUUGCUUCCUCCCCUGGAAGACUACAACCAAACCCACAGGCUUGCCCUGCCUCUGGGAGAGGAAUUGCCCACUGCAGGGCAAACAGACUCACUUCUCAUCUCCACCUAAAGGAUUUGAUUGAAUGAACAAAACAUCACAGAGAAUGAAAGGAUCACGAGAGGGUAGUGCCCAAGGCACGGGAGACGAUACAAAAGGCAGAGGCCGUGGGAUACAGUUUAUUCCUUCCUGAGGAAAGCAAAAAUGGAACUGUGGACCAGUCAAUUGGUUCAGGUCACCAAGUGCGACUACCUGAGUUAGAGCCUUGGAACCCAGCACAGAGAAGAGAGAACCGAUCCCACAUGGCCUCCAACCUGAACAUACACACUAUGUUCUUGGGUUUGAGUAUGCCAACACUGACACACACACAGACACACACACAAUUUUUAAAAGAUACUUUCAUUAAUUUUUGAGAAUUUUACACAAUGUGUUUCGAUCAUCCCCUCCCUCAAGCUCCUUCCAGUCUUUCCUAACCUUCUCCUUCCUAACCACCUAACUUCAUUUCUUUUUUUUUUAAAAAAACUCAUCAAGUCCAAUUUGUGAUUUAAAAAACAAUGGGAAAUUUGACGAAUAUGGAGUCCCCUGAUGCAUAGAAGAGGAAGCCUUGGAUUCUGAGCCCAGAAGACCAGCUGCAAGGCCCCACAGACAACCUAUGCCCUCACAACCUUGCUGAAUUGUUAAUGUUUAAAAAGGAGACAAUAAUAUGUAUAAAUGUGUAACUGUAGAAAUACUGACCCCCUGUGAUGAGAACAGCAAUGAAAGAAUGUUCUAGAGUUUCAGGUAGUUUCUCUAGAACUAUAAGAUCACAAUGAGCUCUAGGCCUACCUUUGAGUUCAGGAAUUGGCCCACUACCCACUGGGCCGGUUCUGUGGCUGGAGGGAAUGGAAGCCCUGAUGGAUGGAAAUCACGCGGACAGCAUCGGGCAGAGAGGUGAGGGAGUCAGAGGAACUCAAAGCUUCAUUGGUCAUGGCCAGGAGGGGAAACAGUGCACAUUUGGGGCUCUCAGUUCCUGGGGUCGUUCAAUGGGGACUGUCAAAGCCAUCCUAGCCUGGUGAAUAAACAAAAAGAAAGUCCCAGUCUUGCCUGCAUCAAUACAAAGGAGCCGGAGACUAGAGGGCACUUCUCCAUAGACAGGAGAGGCCUUGUCCCCCAGGUCGCCUUUGAUCAUCAGCCUUCUCUUGCAAGCAAUUAAUGCAUAAUCGCCAGCAAACCUGAGUGUCUGCAAGAGUCAAAACCAGGGAAAUGGUUUCUGAUUUGCCUUUGAGUCUCAAGAGAAUUCCAGCGCCGACUAGCCCACAGACCUUGCUAUAAUUGCCUGUGCUUCUCUUUCAUGGUUUGCGAUAGAUCCUUCAGAAACGGCCUCGCCCACGCUCGCCUCCGACUGUAAGGACCACACAGCUGGGACCUCAAAAGCAUCUUGGAGAAUCCCCAGGCCAUGAGAGGCUGGUCUAUAAAGAUGGAGGAUCUCGGUUUUGUAAACACAGUUGAAAUAUGUCCCUGUGGGUUUUUUGGAGUUGGGGGUGGGGAAGCCUCACAGAUGCAUAUAUUGCACAUAAAGAGCCCCUAGAGUCUGGUUCUCAACAUGUGGGUCAUGGCCUCUUGGGGGAAUCGCAUAUCAACAUCCUGCAUAUUAGAUAUUUACAUUAUGAUUCAGAACAGCAGCAAAAUUACAAUUAUGAAGUAACAACGAAAUAAUUGUAUGGUUAGGGGUCACCACAACAUGAGGAACUGUAUUAAAGGGUCGCAGCUUUCGGAAGGUUGAGAACCACUCUCUAGAGGGUCUUUCUUGACACACAUCCCAAGGUCCUGACUUCAGCAAGCUUAUGGUAAGUCUAGUCCCUGUGCCUGCCCAUGACAGGUCAAAAAGGUUGCUGCAGGGUCAAAUGGUACACUCCUUCAUCCUUAAAAAAUUUUAGUUUAUGCUGCUUUGUUGAGCAAAGUUUUGUCUGUGCCCCAUGUCUGCCUAGAUGUGAAAUGAAGCUCUAAUCUUUGGUGUUUCUUAAUAACCCUAGUAACAUUUUAAUUGCUCUGCACUUUCAUUUUUUAAAAAGAAUUUGUUUUUUUAUUCUAUUUAUCUGUAUUGUAUGUGCACUCAUGCAUGUGUGGAGGUCAGAGGACACGAGUGAGCAGCUUCUCUCCUUCCACCUUGUGGCUUCUGAGGACUGAACUCAGAGACCUUUCUGAGCUCCUAAGAGGACAGCAAGAACAAGGAACCCAUCAGGCAGUGCAUCCAUCCAAGAGCAAGCAUGGAGCAGGCAAUACAGGGAGCCAAUGUCACCGGGGCAAGACCCUGGGGAACCCUGACCCCAUUCCUGACCCCACUGGGGAGACAGUGCCAGCACUGAGUAACCUUUUUUCUCUCUUGAAUGACUUCAAGGGGUUAUAAGGAAGCAGCAACUGAAUAUUCAAAGAAUGUAUAGGAAUUAUGAAAACAAUACGCACUUACUUUCUCAAGGCUGUUUUUCUUUGUAUGCAUAUGACAAGUGUGUGGAUGUGUAUGCGCGUUCUAAUGUUGUUGGGCACACAUGUUGAUGUCAGGUGUCUCUCUAGAUUCCUCCCUGUUCUUUCAAUAAACCUGCUUGCUGA